ensembl:lncRNA
GGGUGAGUCCACAUUAAGGGUGAGUCCACAUUAAGGGUGAGUCCACAUUAAGGGUGAGUCCACAUUAAGGGUGAGUCCACAUUAAGGGUGAGUCCACAUUAAGGGUGAGUCUACAUUAAGGGUGAGUCUACAUUAAGGGUGAGUCCACCUUUAGGGUGAGUCCACCUUUAGGGUGAGUCCACAUUAAAGGUGAGUCAACAUUAAGGGUGAGUCCACCUUUAGAGUGAGUCCACAUUAAGGGUGAGGACACCGCUGUGGAGCUGUUAAGAGUAGGUUGCAGGUGGAACUGUUAGAAUAAGGGUGGAGGUGGAGCUGUUAAGUGUAGGGUGAAGGUGGAACUGUUAGAAUAAGGGUGGAGGUGGAGCUGUUAAGAGUAGGGUGGAGGUGGAACUGUUAGAAUAAGGGUGGAGCUGUUAGAGUAGGGUGGAGGUGGAACUGUUAGAAUAAGGGUGGAGGUGGAGCUGUUAGAGUAGGGUGGAGGUGGAUGCAUUAGAGUAGGGUGGAGGUGGAGCUGUUAGAGUAGGGUGGAGGUGGAUGCAUUAGAGUAGGGUGGAGGUGGAUGCGUUAGAGUAGGGUGGAGGUGGAUGCGUUAGAGUAGGGUGGAGGUGGAGCUGUUAGAGUAGGGUGGAGGUGGAGCUGUUAGAGUAGGGUGGAGGUGGAGCUGUUAGAGUAGGGUGGAGGUGGAGCUGUUAGAGUAGGGUGGAGAUGGAUGCGUUAGAGUAGGGUGGAGGUGGAGCUGUUAGAGUAGGGUGGAGGUGGAGCUG